ACUUGAUUGUCGUCGUACACGCAUCCUUUGUUCACGUUCCAUAGUCAUCAGAUCCGAUUUUUGAGAUAACACUAGAUAAUGUAAACGGUGCACAAUGUCCAUUUUGUAUCAAAAGUUUGUUUAGUUUAAUUUUUUUGUAAGUACAGAAGAAUU